rnacentral:tRNA from 1 species
UCCCUGGUGGCUUAGUGGUAGAAGAAUCUGCCUGCAAAGCAGGAGAUGUGGGGUCGAUCCCUGUGUUGGGAA